rnacentral:rRNA from 1 species
GAUGAACGCUGGCGGCGUGCCUAAUACAUGCAAGUCGAGCGAACGGACGAGAAGCUUGCUUUUCUGAUGUUAGCGGCGGACGGGUGAGUAACACGUGGAUAACCUACCUAUAAGACUGGGAUAACUUCGGGAAACCGGAGCUAAUAUCGGAUAAUAUUUUGAACCGCAUGGUUCAAAAGUGAAAGACGGUCUUGCUGUCACUUAUAGAUGGAUCCGCGCUGCAUUAGCUAGUUGGUAAGGUAACGGCUUACCAAGGCAACGAUGCAUAGCCGACCUGAGAGGGUGAUCGGCCACACUGGAACUGAGACACGGUCCAGACUCCUACGGGAGGCAGCAGUAGGGAAUCUUCCGCAAUGGGCGAAAGCCUGACGGAGCCACGCCGCGUGAGUGAUGAAGGUCUUCGGAUCGUAAAACUCUGUUAUUGGGGAAGAACAUAUGUGUAAGUAACUGUGCACAUCUUGACGGUACCUAAUCAGAAAGCCCCGGCUAACUUCGUG